GAAAAACCCAUGGUGGGCCUGGACAAAUCAGGAGAGACCCUUGGGCCAGGCCCAGGCCUUCCCUGAAGUUGGGAAGCCACACUACAAAGACCCCCGACUGGCUUGACGCAUCAAGCUGCCACGGAUUCUCCAGCUGCAGGGAAACAAAUGAGGUGGGGGGCUGGGCCCUGCCCAGUCGAUCCCCCCCUCCCGUGAGGAACACUGCUCUUGGCCACAUGAGGCCCAGCAAGAACUCAGCUGAGAGGUGCCCGGGCUCCUGGUCCUUGGACACUGCCGCUCCUCACAGAGCAGGAGAGAGCCACACAGGGGGCUCUUCUCUGGGGGACAGCUCCUGGUCCCUGCUUAGGCCUCGAGCCCCGGCCUCCUUGAGUUCCGGCUGCUGUGGUAAUCAGGGGCUCUGGGCCACCGGAAGGGCCGUGCCCCCGCCUGCAGCUUCUGGAGCGCAGCAUGUCUAGGCGGGUCCACGUGACCACGGCCCAGAGCUGCUGGCCCCUGCAGGGAGGAGGGGCAGGGACCCAAAGUGUGAGUGCAAGGCCCCCGAUUCAUUGCCUGGAGCUGCAGGGGCCGUGCCCACCCGGUGGGCGGCUCAGCACCCCACGCCCAUCCCUCACUCUCCAAGGCCACAGGGCUGACACCAGAGGUCAUUAAGAGCCCUCCUGUCCCAGGGCCAGGCUCCCAGGGGCUCUGGGGAGGGUCCUUCGGCUUCUCCGCUCCGGGCUCCAGGUGACGAUGGCUGGAGGUUGUGUCACCAGGUUCUGCCUCCGUCUCUGCCUGGCCCCCUCUGGAGUGUCUCAGAUCCCCCGCAGGCCGGACGAGGACCUUGUCUACAGAGGUGGCCCCAGCCAGGUAGUCAGGGCCAUCUCGCGAGACCCUUCAGUCCAUCACACCUGCCGAUAAAG
rnacentral:lncRNA from 1 species